rnacentral:lncRNA from 1 species
UCUUCCAGACUCUGGGCAGGGCUCGCUGGUGGGAACCCCUCCCCCCCCCCAAGCGGCUGGGGGGUUUGGAGGGAGAGCUGCCUGCCUCCCCAGCACCUGCUUCGCGGGUCUUCCUCUCCGGCUGCAGGUCCGGGAAGGAAACUGUAGGCUUGAGCAAGCCUGGGGUCGCCGGGCCUCAGGGGAAAUCCUCCCGGCUCGCCGAGCUGCCGCGUUUUCCCGUAGUCCCCCGGGCCAUGCCGGCUCAGCUCGCUCUGAGCUUCUCCAGGGGCACCGGCUGGCUCAGGCUCCCGGAGCGCGCCGGGCGUGGAGCGCGGCGCUGCCUCGGCGCUGCGGGCCGGGCUCCGGCUGCGUCCGCUCCUGGCUCCUCUCGGCCGCCGCCCGGCACUUGCAACUAACUUCUCCCAAGUUUCCUGCGCCGGCGCCGCCGCGCCCCUCUCCGCGCGCUCGCCUCGGAGCGUGCGCCCGCCUGUGCGCCGCGCCCAGGGCCCCUCUCUCCCGGCUUCUCCUGCCAGAGCCGAGCAGGCGCUGGGCGGAGGUGCUGGAGGAGGGGAUUUAAGGAAAACGCGCCAUCACCUCUAUUCGCAGGUCCGCGCUGGGGCUGCUCCCGCUUCCCCCACUCCCGUAGCACUGUGGGCCCCUUCCUGGCCCAGGCCGCCACUCCGCCGCUCCCGAGGCGGCACGAGCCCCGUGCACGGGCUCAGGUAAGUGUAGCUACCUGCGUGUGCACGCGCCCGGAGCCGGCGCUGGGUGUGCAUGUCCACCGGCGACUGAGUGUGUGUAUAUCUGGGGGCAUGCGGAGGAGGUGGAGCCCAAGACUCCAGGAGGGAGGAGGGACCAGCGGAGCCUCCUCCCGCUCCCACACCCCCAGGACCGCGAAUUAAACCGGAUCCCCUCCGCCCCCCUCCAUACUCCUCCUCCCACCCCUUUUCACUGGAGAGCAGGUUGAGGCGAGCGGAGAGCUAGGAGCGCGCCGCGGAUUCUGCGCACUGUUUGGUGUUUGGCAACCCCUGGUGUCAUCCCGGCUACCCUGGCACUGGUCGCGGCUCUGGGAUCCUCUGCGUGGAGAAAGGAGGCGCGCACGAGAAGAAGAGCCUCUCGAACUACGGCGGAAGAGGGGACGUACCCUAGAAAAUGUUGGAGAUUUUUCCUAGGAAGAAAGUGCUCAUUUUCCUUGGAGGUCCAGAUGUUACUUGCAACAGAUGCUUCUCGCAUUUUCUUGCGCUGGUGAUGCACCCAGUCAGAGGUAGUGAAGUGAAAAAUAACUGAGGAGGAACUGAGCGUGCUCUUGGCAACCUUUUCGAAAAGGAGCUCGCCCAGGCUGAAAAUAGGCAUCCUUGGCUGACUGUUUAGCUCUUUGAAAAUUCUGGGUGUUUUGUUUUGUUUCUGUUCUGGUCGACAGAGCCAUCUAUAUGCUGAUCUCUUUCAGGUACAGUUAACUUACACUGUCUCACUUAAAUGCACAGAUAGGGUGAAGGUGUUCAAAAUCCGGAAGUGUAAAAAUGUCUCUCUGAAAGAAUAAAGUAAAAUGUACCAAUCACUCUGUACUGGAAUAGCUUUAAUGUGGUCAGUGUCCUUAGAAAGGAAGAGUUUCCUUAUAAUUGACACGAUGCAAAAAUAGCAUGAUUUUGUUUGCAUAUUUUUAUCACUUCUUGGUAUGCUGCAGCACACUCAUAGUGUGAUCAGUCUGGAGGUUUUAUUCACAAGUUGGCCUGUCCUUCGGGGAGAACUCGCUUG